UAGGGAAUCUUCGGCAAUGGGGGGAACCCUGACCGAGCAACGCCGCGUGAGUGAAGAAGGUUUUCGGAUCGUAAAGCUCUGUUGUUAAGGAAGAACGAGUGUGAGAAUGGAAAGUUCAUGCUGUGACGGUACUUAACCAGAAAGGGACGGCUAACUACGUACCAGCAGCCGCGGUAAUACGUAGGUGGCAAGCGUUGUCCGGAUUUAUUGGGCGUAAAGCGAGCGCAGGCGGUCAAUUAAGUCUGAUGUGAAAGCCCCCGGCUCAACCGGGGAGGGUCAUUGGAAACUGGUUGACUUGAGUGCAGAAGAGGAGAGUGGAAUUCCAUGUGUAGCGGUGAAAUGCGUAGAUAUAUGGAGGAACACCAGUGGCGAAGGCGACUCUCUGGUCUGUAACUGACGCUGAGGCUCGAAAGCGUGGGUAGCAAACAGG
rnacentral:rRNA from 1 species